UGGAGCUAACAGCAUAUAAAAUUCGUGCAUACAACAUCUUCGCUAACAAAACUUCCAUCUAUAAAGGUUUGAGUAAAUAAGAGGAUUAACUGACUAAUUAACAAAUAAGACAUCCUUUUCAAUGUUUUGGUACAAGAAUCAUAUUGUCAACUAAAACAUGCCGUAAAUUGAGGAUUGAAUUGCCCUAAAAUCCUCUUAAAAUGUCUCCAUACAGAAAAGACUAAAAAGAACAAAUAGAUUCGAGGAAACAUGUGUUGGGUAGGUUACAGGAAGCAACUUUAUACUAUCACAGAAAAGACUAAAAAGAACAAAUAGAUUCGAGGAAACAUGUGUUGGGUAGGUUACAGGAAGCAACUUUAUACUAUCAAAACCUGGAAGCAACAAACAAUUUGGUCCGCAGUGUAAUAUAUGCUCUCUCAAGGAACUGCAAUACGACACUUCUAGUCAAUCUUCACUGAUGAGUAGAUGAGCCUCGUGAACCAGAAGCACGCAUAGAACCCAAUUGUGCCAGUCAAGACAAAGAAAGCAUAUGAUGCGAUCAACAUGUAGCCGAAGUACAGCAUACCAGAUACGGGCUUUGUGAUCUCAAGCUUUGUGAAGAAAUAGAAUGCUGCAUACAGGAAUAGGUAGAGAGCCGAUGACCCUGAAGUGAGGUAUGAUCUCCACCACCAAAGGUAGUCCUCGCUGCAUAGCUGGAAAUAGCAGAGCACAAUGGUGAUCUCGGCACAGGUGAUGAUAAGGAUGACGAGCACAAUGAAG
rnacentral:lncRNA from 1 species